UAAGACUUGAGUUGAUCUCAAUUGUCUUCUUUGUUGAAAUAGUUGUUCUAUUUCGGAAUAGCAGAGCUCUAUCCAAAUUAUCCAUAUAAUCAUCCAAUCAUUCAACACAAUCCAUCAUCAAUAUAAUCCAACGCAUCAUUCAGACAGUGAAAUCACUCCGGAAGCAAUGAAAGCAAUUGAAACCUUCGAACAACCUUUCGAAAAGUUUUCUCAUCAGUUAGCUGAAUUACCUGCUGAUAUCAAAAAACAACUUUGUAAACAUAUUAUGCAUGCACCAAGACACAAUUGCAGUUAUUGUUCAGAAAACACAGAAGAAACACAAUUCACGGAAGAUUAACGAUGAAAGAAAACAUUCUUCAAAAAUAUGUCUUUUUGGAGGUGGAAGGAAUGAGAAUGACGUAAGCAAUGACGAAAAAAGCCAUAAUUGAAGACAUCUGUCCUUUCAAUGUGGAAGGGAUUAUUAUAUUUUUAAUUAUGUAAAGUGUCGGUAGAAGGAUUGUUAUUUUUAUGUAAUUAAAUAGAAGUGUCGGUAGAAUAAUUACUAAGUGUCGGUUGUGAUGUAACAUAAAGUGUGUAACCCUCAAUAGUCUAGGAGGCUAUAAUGUAAAUAUGUAUGUCGUAUUGCAAUCAAACGAUUGCAACAAUAAUUGUAACCGGCUCUCUUGAGCCUAUAAAUAGGGCCUUCGCCCAAAUGAAAUAAACAAACGAAGUUUAAGUGUUUAA